rnacentral:rRNA from 1 species
ACUUGCUCCCUGAUGUUACGGCGGANGGGUGAGUACACGUGGGUACCUGCCUGUAAGACUGGGAUAACUCCGGGAAACCGGGGCUAAUACCGGAUGGUUGUUUGAACCGCAUGGUUCAGACAUAAAAGGUGGCUUCGGCUACCACUUACAGAUGGACCCGCGGCGCAUUAGCUAGUUGGUGAGGUAACGGCUCACCAAGGCGACGAUGCGUAGCCGACCUGAGAGGGUGAUCGGCCACACUGGGACUGAGACACGGCCCAGACUCCUACGGGAGGCAGCAGUAGGGAAUCUUCCGCAAUGGACGAAAGUCUGACGGAGCAACGCCGCGUGAGUGAUGAAGGUUUUCGGAUCGUAAAGCUCUGUUGUUAGGGAAGAACAAGUGCCGUUCAAAUAGGGCGGCACCUUGACGGUACCUAACCAGAAAGCCACGGCUAACUA